rnacentral:misc_RNA from 1 species
AGGGUUUUCUUCUUUUUUUUUUCUUGGUUUUCAUCUCAUCAAAUCAAGGAUACAGCUUCCCAUUUCGCCAUUUUUGCGUUUAUUCGUGUCCUUCUGAGUGAAACUUAUGCAUGAACAGGGUCUUUGUUUUUCCUCAGAAAGUUAGAAGACACUUUCAGUUUUGAAGUAUUAUAUGUGCUAAGAUGGGGUGUUUCACAGUCUUGAAGAGCAAGAAGAAAAAGCCCGAGCCAUCGGUUUCCAUCAAACGUGUAAGUCCUAAGGAGCAAACGCCAACCAUACUACCUGAGCCCCAGAUCCCAACUCGGUCAUUGCAGUCUGCACCCCCUAGUUUUAGGACAAGAGUGAAACCUGUUCAACCCGAUAACAGGGUAUCUAACAGUAGAGCACGAGCAAUGUCAGCUCCAGAAAGCCUUGAUGCUGCA